rnacentral:rRNA from 1 species
AGGGCACUCUAAUGAGACUGCCGGUGACAAACCCGGAGGAAAGGUGGGGAUGACGUCAAGUCCUCAUGGCCCUUAUGGGUAGGGCUUCACACGUCAUACAAUGGUCGGUACAGAGGGUUGCCAAGCCGCGAGGCGGAGCCAAUCCCACAAAGCCGAUCGUAGUCCGGAUUGUUCUCUGCAACUCGAGAGCAUGAAGUCGGAAUCGCUAGUAAUCGCAGGUCGGCAUACUGCGGUGAAUACGUUCCCGGGUCUU